rnacentral:rRNA from 1 species
GGAGGAAGAGAAAGAAACAUCGAUUCCCAAAGUAGCGGCGAGCGAAAUGGGAAGAGCCUAAACCGAAUCUCUACGGAGAGUCGGGGUUACGGACCUGCGGAAUCGAAAUUACUCAUAGUCGAAUAGCAUUGGAAAGUGCAGCCGGAGAGGGUAAAAGCCCCGUAGGCGAAAUGAGGAAUCGAGAGGCGGGUAUCCAGAGUACCACAGGACACGAGGAAUCCGGUGGGAAGUCGGGGGGACCACCCCCCAAGGCUAAAUACUACUUAGUGACCGAUAGCGUAUAGUACCGUGAGGGAAAGGUGAAAAGAACCCCGGGAGGGGAGUGAAAGAGAACCUGAAACCCUAUGUUUACAAGCAGUGGGAGCGCAAGCGACCAUGUACUUUUUGUAGAACGGGCCGGCGAGUUACUGUGUGUAGCGAGGUUAAGGUGUAGAGCACCGGAGCCGUAGCGAGAGCGAGUCUCAAAUGGGCGAAUAGUUGCAUACAGUAGACCCGAAACCGGGUGACCUAUCCAUGGACAGGAUGAAGCGGUGGUAAAGCACCGUGGAGGUCCGAACCACACGUAUGUUGAAAAAUGCGGGGAUGAGCUGUGGAUAGCGGAGAAAUUCCAAUCGAACUCGGAGAUAGCUGGUUCUCCCCGAAAUAGCUUUAGGGCUAGCCUCGAUUUAGAUUAUUGGGGGUAGAGCACUGAAUGGGCUAGGGGGCCACAAAGCUUACUGAACCCUAUCAAACUGCGAAUACCAAUUAAUUGAUGAUCGGGAGUCAGACAGUGAGAGAUAAGUUCCAUUGUCGAAAGGGAAACAGCCCAGAUCCACGACUAAGGUCCCAAAAUACACGUUAAGUGGAAAAGGAUGUGCAGUUGCACAGACAACCAGGAUGUUGGCUUAGAAGCAGCCACUCAUUCAAAGAGUGCGUAAUAGCUCACUGGUCGAGUGAAUGUGCGCCGAAAAUAUACCGGGGCUAAACGUGAUACCGAAGUCUGGGGAUCAAGAAAUUGAUCGGUAGGGGAGCAACGCAUACGGACAGAAGCAGAAGCGGGAGCGACUGUGGACUGUAUGGGAGAGAGAAUGCCGGCAUGAGUAGCGAGAGCAAAGUGAGAAUCUUUGCCGUCGAAAGCCUAAGGUUUCCUGAGGAAGGCUCGUCCUCUCAGGGUAAGUCGGGACCUAAGCCGAGGACAAGAGUCGUAGGCGAUGGACAACAGGUUGAUAUUCCUGUACCGUACUUAAGCGUUUGACUGAAGCAGUGACACAGAAGGAUAGACAGACCGGGGGAAUGGUAGACUCCGGCCAAGCAGUGAGGCUGACAUGUAGUGAAGUACGCAUGUUAAGGCUGGGCUGUGAUGGGGACUGAAGAUUAGUAAGGAAGCUGUUGAAUUCACACUGGCGAGAAAAGCUGCUAAGGAGCGAGAGUAUGCCCGUACCGCAAACCGACACAGGUAGGCGAGGAGAGAAUCCUAAGACGAGCGGGAGAACCCUUGUUAAGGAACUCGGCAAAAUGACUCCGUAACUUAGGGAGAAGGAGUGCCUCGAGAGAGGCCGCAGAGAAUAGGCCCAAGCGACUGUUUACCAAAAACACAGGUCUGUGCGAAGUAGAGAUACGACGUAUACGGGCUGACGCCUGCCCAGUGCCGGAAGGUUAAGGGGAAGUGUUAGGGCAACCGAAGCACGGAACUUAAGCCCCGGUGAACGGCGGCCGUAACUAUAACGGUCCUAAGGUAGCGAAAUUCCUUGUCGGGUAAGUUCCGACCCGCACGAAUGGCGUAACGACUUGGGCACUGUCUCAACAAGGGACCCGGCGAAAUUGUAGUAUGUGUGAAGAUGCACAUUACCCGCGAUAGGACGGAAAGACCCCGUAGAGCUUUACUGUAGUUUAACAUUGGAUUUUGAUAACACAUGUACAGGAUAGGUGGGAGGCUGAGAAACCGGCACGCCAGUGCCGAUGGAGCCGCUGUUGGGAUACCACUCUUGUGUUAUUGGAGUUCUAACGAAGUGCCGUAAACCGGGCUUCGGACAGUGUUAGAUGGGCAGUUUGACUGGGGCGGUCGCCUCCGAAAGAGUAACGGAGGCGCCCAAAGGUUCCCUCAGAAUGGUUGGAAACCAUUCGCAGAGUGCAAAGGCAGAAGGGAGCUUGACUGCGAGACCGACGGGUCGAGCAGGUACGAAAGUAGGGCUUAGUGAUCCGGCGGUAUGAGAGUGGAAUUGCCGUCGCUCAACGGAUAAAAGCUACCU